CUUGGUCAUUUAGAGGAAGUAAAAGUCGUAACAAGGUUUCCGUAGGUGAACCUGCGGAAGGAUCAUUACUGAUUUAGCAAACCGAGCGUUAGCGAGGUUCUGCGAUCACUUAUAUUUAAAACCCCACUCUUUAAAUUUUAUAUAUUAUUUUUAAAUGAUUAAAAAUUAAGAUCACUUUCAACAACGGAUCUCUUGGCUCUCGCAUCGAUGAAGAACGUAGCGAAGUGCGAUAAGUAAUGUGAAUUGCAGUAUUCCGUGAAUCAUCGAAUCUUUGAACGCAAAUUGCACUUUCUGGUAUUCCGGAAAGUAUGCCUGUUUGAGGGUCAGUUAAAUGAAAAUCGGUGUCGUUGCUACCCUUAGUGGUGGUAACGCAUCGGAGUUGAGUCGUCUUUACCUUUUUUUGGUUAAGUGACUUAAAAUUUUGAACGAUUUUUUGAACGUAUUUAAAUUCUUACGUACGUUCUUAACAUCAUAUAUUUAUUAGGUGUGGUCAUUCCUAUGAUUCGCGUCUAUAAUUUUUCAUUAUUUGACCUCAAAUCAGGUAAGAGUACCCGCUGAACUUAGGCAUAUCAAUAAGCGGAGGA
rnacentral:rRNA from 1 species